rnacentral:rRNA from 1 species
GCACGAAGUUAGCCGGAGCUUAUUCCUCAGGUACCGUCAUUAUCGUCCCUGAUAAAAGAGCUUUACAACCCGAAGGCCUUCUUUACUCACGCGGCAUUGCUGGAUCAGGGUUGCCCCCAUUGUCCAAUAUUCCCCA